rnacentral:tRNA from 1 species
AGAGGUUUAGGUUAAUAUCAGACCCAGGGCCUUCAAAGCCCUAAGCGAGAGUGAAAAUCCCUCAACCCCUG